UGCUGCCACUCCCGCAGUCAGCUGGCUCGCGAGGGAGAGACCGCGGACUUAGAGCCUUCGCUUCGCCUUCGGUGUCCGCCUCUCAGUCCGCCCGAAGCCCCGAGUGGUUUCUCACGGCUCCCCGAAGCGACUGAGAGUAUGUGCAGGAUCUGGAGUGAAUGGGGAGAGGCGGUCGGCAGCGGAAGCCCGUGGCGAGAGUGAGCUCGGAGCAUGUUCGUCUGGGUUUCGCCAAUCCUUCAGGGUCCACCUUCGGCGACGGCGCCCCCCGCCGCAUCCCUGACUUACCUUGUUUGUCCGCCGGUAGGCGCGUCCAAGCAGACCAAGGUAUCUUGAAGAGGAGGGGGAGAAAAAGAGAGCCUCGGAGAAGCUGCGAGGCUCUUUCAUUCAACCCGCUUUCUCCGCGUUUGUCCCCCCCGCCCCGCUUCACCAUGCGCCAGGCUGGGCUCUACCGCCGAGGAGAAAUUUAAAAGCAGAAGGGGACCGAUCGCCGAGCCUCGUUGCUAAUCCUGGUUGAGAAGAGGUGUGUUCAUCAUGGCCCAGGGAUCCAGUGACAUGGAAACUGCUGAUCUGGAGGAGAGUUCUCCAAAUAUGAUUGUUUACCGAAAGAUAGAAGAUAUCAUUACAAGAAUGCAGGAUGACAAAACAGGUGGAGUGCCCAUCCGCACCGUCAAGAGCUUUCUGUCGAAAAUCCCUAGUGUUGUCACAGGAGCUGACAUAGUGCAGUGGCUUAUGAAGAAUCUCAGUAUUGAAGAUCUAGCUGAAUCAAUACAUCUGGGAAGCCUCAUUGCAGCACAGGGAUAUAUUUUUCCAAUCUCAGAUCACGUACUAACUUUAAAGGAUGAUGGGACUUUUUAUCGUUUUCAGGCUCCAUACUUCUGGCCUUCAAAUUGUUGGGAACCAGAAAACACGGACUAUGCCAUCUAUCUUUGCAAGAGGACCAUGCAGAAUAAAGCUAGACUGGAACUGGCAGAUUAUGAAGCAGAGAACUUAGCAAGACUUCAGAGAGCUUUUGCCAGAAAGUGGGAAUUCAUCUUUAUGCAAGCUGAAGCACAAGUCAAAAUUGACAGAAAAAAGGAUAAAACAGAAAGGAAGAUUUUGGAUAGUCAAGAAAGAGCUUUCUGGGAUGUCCAUAGGCCAGUGCCGGGCUGUGUGAAUACAACAGAGAUGGACAUCAGAAAGUGUCGACGUAUGAAGAAUCCACAGAGGGUCAAAAAGUCAGUUUAUGGAGUGACAGAAGAUAGUCAGUCCCAAAGUCCUGCACAUAUCCCUUCCCAACCAAUUCGCAAAACAACAAAAGAUGACGUCCGAAAGCAAAUAACAUUUCUGAAUGUUCAGAUAGACAGGCAUUGUUUAAAAAUGUCUAAAGUAGCAGAAAGUUUAAUUGCUUAUUCAGAUCAGUACAUUGAUUAUGACCCCUUUAUAACUCCUGCGGAACCUUCCAAUCCCUGGAUAAAUGAUGACUCUGUGUUUUGGGACUUAGAAACAAGCAAAGAGCCUUCCCAGCAUCGGGUCAAAAGAUGGGGCUUCUCUAUAGAUGAGGUGUUGAAAGAUCCUGUGGGGCGUGACCAGUUUCUUCGAUUUUUGGAAUCGGAAUUCAGUUCUGAAAACCUCAGGUUUUGGUUGGCUGUCCAAGAUCUCAAAAAACAACCAUUACAAGAUGUAGCUACCAGAGUAGAAGAGAUCUGGCAAGAGUUUCUUGCUCCUGGGGCCCAGAGCGCCAUCAACCUGGACUCUCACAGCUAUGAAAUAACAAGCCAAAACGUCAAAGACCCAGGGAGGUACACGUAUGAAGAUGCACAGGAACAUAUUUACAAGCUGAUGAAGAGUGACAGCUAUGCACGUUUCCUCCGUUCUAAUGCUUACCAAGACUUGUUGCUGGCAAAGAAGAAGCCCGAGAAUGAGCAAGGUCGUAGAACUUCCCUAGAAAAGUUCACUCGCAGUAUGGGAAAGUCACUGGCAGGCAAGCGUCUCGCAGGCUUGAUGCAAUCUUCUUGACAGCAUCGUCUGGGCUAGCAGUUGCUGACAUCUCCGGAAGACCGCUGCACUCCACCUCCUCGGCCAAGGAAAGACAUUGGGGGCACACGGGUCACUGCGGGGGGUGUGAAUGAGAGAGCAAAGGAGAGAGCACGUUCAGACAACGGAAGAAACAUAGGGAGGGAAAAGGCUCUAGGAUGGAGAGUCUGACCCACUGGAGGUUCCUCUUCCUGUAGUUUACAUCAACACUUUUCUUACUUACACAGCUUUGUAAUGGCACUGAAGUCUCUAACAAUAAGACACUGUUUCUAAUCUGAUUUCAGAGGAACACCACUGCUGUCUAAAGGAGGCCAAUCCAGGCAAAGGAAGAGAGCGAGAAAGAGCCAUCAGUGUUAUUUAAAGUAGCACUCCUAAGAGAAAUCUGGGGAAAGAACAGCUGGUUGAGAUCAGUCUUCAAAACGCAGGCGCUUUCUCAUGCUCCUAGCUGCUACUGCUGCAUGUCCACAGCCGUAUCUAUCCGUCUUUCACAUAUCUAGUUGCAGAUGCUGUACUCAGACUGAUGCCAUUCACCGACUGGGAGAAGCCCAGCAGAGAACAGAGCAGAAUUUGGGUAAUGUAUAAAGUAAAGCAUAGUGGCUAGCAUAGAUCUAUCCAUGCUGGAUGGUUAUAGCUUAGUAUUUGCUUACUGAUUGUCACUUUCACUGCUAAUACAGUGAACAAUGCAUUACAUUAUGGAGCAGCAGGACAUAUUGUGGAAUGAGAAACUCUUUCUUUCAGAAAAUUAUACAUAAUUUUGGUGUGAGAUCACUCUGAGCCAUACAUGUUUAUCUAUGAUUAGCAAUCUCACCAUGGAUGCUGGAAUAGACAUAUAGGAACCUUGAGUUUAUGUCCAGAUUAGACAGACUCAUAGUGGACCAGGCUGCAUGAAAAGACUUAGCAUCCCACAUUAUUUUUAAAGCUUCACGGAAUGUUAAUCAGUUUCCAUUUUCACACUAGAAAUUCCCUUUUUGGUAGCUUUUUGGAUUUGCUUUAUUUGAUAAUGAAAUAGAAUUUUGUAGAUCCUCUUGAAAAGCCAAGCAGUUUCAUUUACAGGUAGUUACACCACUUGGAAGUCACAAGGAUUUCCACCAUCUAAUAGUUCCUCUAGGAUCACACCACUACAAGUAAAUCCACCAGUCGUUUCUAGUUGUGUGUAAAACUCCAUUUCAGGCAUGGAACAUUCUGAAUUGUGACAAGAACAUUGUGAACCACUUUCUGGAACAUUUACUUCUUGAAAAUAUUCUAGAGUGACUUGAUGAUCACAUUCCACACACACACACACACACACACACACACAAAUAUUCUGGGGCACAGAAUUAUUAAAACAUUAAUUAUUAAAAUAUUUACAAAUUAUUAAUAUUGAUAUUUGCUUUUAAUGCAGCUCUGCUUUCUAAAGGAAACUGGGUCAGUAUAUCGAAGAACAAUAUAUACAAUCUUCAAGCAAGCAAUUGAAUACACCAAUCACCAAUAAACUCAUCAAUCCUAAGAGUCAAUAAGUAUACUGAAAUUUAAACAAAGUUCAGUUUAAGAAAGCAGUCUACAAGGCAGUCUGAUUCUGGGGCAGUUGUUAUCCUACCAGUGUCUUGAUGAACCUGCAUAUCUUUUGUUGCUAAAGACAAAACAGUAUGGGAGCAGAUGGACUUUGCCUAGGAGACAGAUGUAUCAUAUGGAUGCUGCCACUGAGAAUACUGUCCUGUCCACAGUCUGGAAGUUAACUACUCUGUAGGGCCACAAGCAAGCCCC